UUGUUGGGCUCGACCUGUAAAUAUUAUCUGGCGAGACCGCGUCGGUCGUGUCACGUUUUGCUCCAGUCCCUGAAACGAAAGAGUUGCGGGGGUAAAAGAAAAAAAAUCUAGAUCCUUCUCUCGUUCAAGCCCACAGAAUCCACCAAGCCACGGCGUCACCGCCAGCGCUACUGCCAUCUCGGGGAAGGAACCGAACCGACCCCUGAAAAGAAUUCGGUGCGUCGGAAGGAAGAGCAACCCUGCGGUGGUGGAGCGAGGACCCGGGUUGAGGGAUGUGGUGGGAGUGGGAGGGCGACGGUGGUGAGGCGCCGCGGGAGGAGACUCCUGUGGACUUCGAUUUCAUCGCCCUCCUCGCCAAGCCCAAGGAUUACUACAAGAUACUGGAAGUAGAUUACUAUGCGUCUGAGGAGACGAUCAGGUCCAGCUAUAUCCGCCUUGCACUGAAAUGGCACCCUGACAAGAAGCAGGGGCAGGGCGAAGAGAAUUCAACCUCCAAAUUUCAGGAAAUUAACGAGGCAUACCAAGUUCUGAGUAAUCCAGCAAAAAGGCAAGAGUAUGACAAAAAAGGCAUUCUAUACGUUCAAGAUCAGAAUGUAGUGGAUUACCUGAACCGGCACAAGGGGCUAAUACUUACGUGCAAUGGUCUUGGUAUAAGGUACUCAGUAUGGUGAACACGCUCAAGGGCCCACAGUUUGCACUCAUCUGCAGUCUUGGAGAAUCUGUAAUGUGGGGCCAGUGGGGAUGAAAAUAAUUUCUGAUGACAUACAGGGAAGCCUUUGAUCUGAAAAUGGUAUAGUGCAGCAGUGCCAUGUUUGAAAGCCAAAUAUUGACCACUUGAGUUCAUCCUACAAGGCUACAACAGAGUUGAUUUUUAUUUGUCGAUCAGCUGUUGUUGAAUGAAAGAGGCAGAUAUGUUCCUGCUGCUCCUUGUAUGUAACAUACUGUUCCUAACCAUGCAAUGUAAGCGUUUGUUUCUGUCUUGGCGCUUUGUAUUGACGUUAUGUGGACCUGAAUGUCUGUGGAAAAACAGAGUGGUAUCAUGCUCCUUCCCCGGAAACUAGUACAUCUAUAUCCUCAUUAA